ensembl:lncRNA
GUCUUAAUGUCUUAACAUUCAUUGUUGUAAGACCACUGAAGCUAUUAAGAUGGGAGUUGAAGACCUUGAGCUUCCUUUCUUUAAUUUUAUUUCAUAUGAAUGAAUAAGUACAGCUAUGGUGUUGGGACUACUUUUUUUUUUUUUUUUUUUUACCUAAUAUAAUAUGAACUUGGAUUGUAUUCACAAACAUUUAGAGAAUACUCAAGGGAAGAUCUUGAAAGUUUCCAUAGAGACUCAAAUCUGAUAGGAAACCGGACUUGAAUCUUUUAGAUAUGAUGUUCAGUCAAUUGAGAAAUGCUUGCACAGUGCAUCACUCUCUUUUAUUUCUUUCCUAUUUCAACACCUACCUUACAACCAUUGCCUUACCAACAUUUAUAUAGAUUUUUUUCUCUAAAGAUCAAUCCCCGUGUCUUUUAUGAACUCCUGACCUUUCCUUUUCAAGGCCUCCAUUUGUGGGCUCAAAUGAAUUGCUUUGGCAACUGCUUUAUUGAGUACGGGGUUACACUGAUGCUUGGUGCAAUCAUAGAUUGCAUAUGAAAGAUGGAUGUAGCCACUAUGAUGUUAACCAUUGGUUUCCUAUCUCUAUUUUUGAUUUGGAUAGGCCAAUAAAGCUGCCGUGAGAGGUGAAUGACGCAAAACUCUUCACUGUCCAAUCAAUGUAUUUGCACAUUUGAGAAGUCCAGAGAGUUCCUCCAUCACACUGGAUUGUUCUGCAGUUUCAUUAAUCCAUACCUGGUAAUUUGGACAUUGAAGAUUUCUUUGUCUUCUCUGGAGCGCUGUUAAUUGUCUAAUGUUGAUUUUGAAAGCAUUCUCUGUUCAAACAGUGUUUGUCGAUGUUUGUCAAUACUCAUCGGCGUCCAGCGUGGUACAGAUUGGCCGUGUCUAUUCCUUUAAAGUCCAUUUUCAUUUGUUUUUCUCAUCAUGUUAUCCGCAUGCUAUAUUCUAUGUCUUGAUCUUUCUUGUUUUCUCUUUGUCCUCAUUUGCACAGCUCCCUCUUCCCCACCUCCUAUGUUUUCUCGUUCUCACCUCUUUGACCCUCAUCCUUCCUUCUCGGCUCCCCCUGCACAUGUUUCUCCACCCACAGCCAAUCAUAAUAUAACUCUGGUAGCAUCUGAAAAUCUGCCUAUAGCAGGAUCCAGGACUUUAAAAAGUGCCAUUUUGACUUGUCAUUUCCCCUUGUUUAGCUGUAGGCACAUAUCCUCCCACACACUCAAAGCAAAGUGGCUUCGUUUGCAACUGUCAUCAUUGCAGCAGUUUUUUAAACUAUGUUUAACUACUUUUUCUGUGUCCUUGUCAAGAAGAUGAAACUGGUACUUUUGUGACAUAGGGAAUUUCAGCAUAUUUACAGUUAAAAGGGCAGGAUUCCCUUUUUUCCUUUUGUUUCUUCCAAUGCUAAACAUGCAACAUUACAAGAUUUAAAAUACUUCCACUGAUGGUAAAAAUGAUCAAUUACUAAUGCUAAAAAUGAAAGAUGUAUAGUUUAAAACCUGUCUUCAAUGAAAAUAAAUGGUUCAG